rnacentral:rRNA from 1 species
GCCUUUUGGUUCGGGACAACAGUUGGAAACGGCUGCUAAUACCGGAUGUGCCUACGGGUGAAAGAUUAAUUGCCAAGAGAUGAGCUCGCGUCUGAUUAGCUAGUUGGUGGUGUAAUGGACUACCAAGGCUGCGAUCAGUAGCUGGUCUGAGAGGAUGAUCAGCCACACUGGAACUGAGACACGGUCCAGACUCCUACGGGAGGCAGCAGUGGGGAAUUUUCCGCAAUGGGCGAAAGCCUGACGGAGCAAUACCGCGUGAGGGAGGAAGGCUCUUGGGUUGUAAACCUCUUUUCUCAGGGAAGAUGAUGACGGUACCUGAGGAAUAAGCAUCGGCUAACUCCGUGCCAGCAGCCGCGGUAAUACGGAGGAUGCAAGCGUUAUCCGGAAUGAUUGGGCGUAAAGCGUCCGCAGGUGGUUUUGUAAGUCUAUUGUUAAAGCGUGCGGCUUAACCGCAUAAGGGCAGUGGAAACUACAAGACUAGAGUGCGUUCGGGGCAGAGGGAAUUCCUGGUGUAGCGGUGAAAUGCGUAGAGAUCAGGAAGAACACCGGUGGCGAAAGCGCUCUGCUAGGCCGCAACUGACACUGAGGGACGAAAGCUAGGGGAGCGAA